rnacentral:rRNA from 1 species
AACGAACGCUGGCGGCGCGCUUAACACAUGCAAGUCGAGCGAUGAAACUUUAACAGCUCGCUCCGGGGCGAAGCUAAAGGGGAAUAGCGGAGGAAGGGUGCGUAACACGUGUGUAACCUGCCUUAGACAUUGGGAAAGCCUCGGGAAACCGGGAUUAAUACCAAAUAAAAUAAUAAUGACACAUGUCAUAACGAUCAAAUCUCCGGUGGUAUAAGAUGUACUCGAGUCGGAUUAGCUAGUUGGUAGAGUAAAAGCCUACCAAGGCGACUAUGGGUAGCUGGUCUCAGAGGAUGAUCAGCCACCCUGGAACUGAGACACGGUCCAGACUCCUGAGGGAGGCAGCAGUGGGGAAUAUUGGACAAUGGGGGCAAGCCUGAUACAGCCAUACCGCGUGGGUGCAGAAGGACUUCGGGUUGUAAAGCCCUUUUGUUGGGAAAGAAAAGAAGCAGGUUAAUACCCCGCUGUUCUGACGGUACCAAAAGAAUAAGCCCCGGCUAACUUCGUG